rnacentral:rRNA from 1 species
CCGGUGUAGCGGUGGAAUGCGUAGAUAUCGGGAGGAACACCAGUGGCGAAGGCGGCCUACUGGGCACCAACUGACGCUGAGGCUCGAAAGUGUGGGUAGCAAACAGGAUUAGAUACCCUGGUAGUCCACACUGUAAACGAUGAUUACUAGGUGUUGGAGGAUUGACCCCUUCAGUGCCGCAGUUAACACAAUAAGUAAUCCACCUGGGGAGUACGACCGCAAGGUUGAAACUCAAAGGAAUUGACGGGGGCCCGCACAAGCAGUGGAGUAUGUGGUUUAAUUCGACGCAACGCGAAGAACCUUACCAAGUCUUGACAUCCUGCGACGCACAUAGAAAUAUGUGUUUCCUUCGGGACGCAGAGACAGGUGGUGCAUGGUUGUCGUCAGAUCGUGUCGUGAGAUGUUGGGUUAAGUCCCGCAACGAGCGCAACCCUUAUGGUCAGUUACUACGCAAGAGGACUCUGGCCAGACUGCCGUUGACAAAACGGAGGAAGGUGGGGAUGACGUCAAAUCAUCAUGCCCUUUAUGACUUGGGCUACACACGUACUACAAUGGCGUUAAACAAAGAGAAGCAAGACCGCGAGGUGGAGCAAAACUCAAAAACAACGUCUCAGUUCAGAUUGCAGGCUGCAACUCGCCUGCAUGAAGUCGGAAUUGCUAGUAAUCGCGGAUCAGCAUGCCGCGGUGAAU